rnacentral:rRNA from 1 species
GACGAACGCUGGCGGCGUGCUUAACACAUGCAAGUCGAACGGAAAGGCCCUGCUCUUGUGGGGUGCUCGAGUGGCGAACGGGUGAGUAAAACGUGAGUAACCUGCCCUUGACUUUGGGAUAACUUUAGGAAACUGGGGCUAAUAUCGGAUAGGAGCUCCUGCUGCACGGGGGGGGUUGGAAAGUUUCGGUGGUUGGGGAUGGACUGGAGGCUUAUCAGCUUGUUGGUGGGGUAGUGGCUUUCCAAGGUUUUGACGGGUAGCCGGCCUGGGAGGGUGGCCAGCCACAUUGGGACUGAGGUACGGCCCAGACUCCUACGGGAGGCAGCAGUGGGAAAUAUUGCGCAGUGGGCGGAAGCCUGAUGCAGCAGCGCCGCGUGCGGGAUGACGGCCUUCGGGUUGUAAACCGCUUUCGCCUGUGACGCAGCGUGAGUGACGGUAAUGGGUAAAGAAGCACCGGCUAACUACGUG